UUUCGUAACCCACUAUUAAAGCAGCAGUUGGAUCAGAUUUCUUAUCAACUGGAAGAGCCAAACUUUCUACUGAUCAGAGAACAGCUUGCUGUCUCUUGAUGUGGAACCUGAGGCCUGAACUAGAAGAAGGAAUUGCAGUCAUCAGUCUGCAGGAAAAGCUCUAGUGAGCAGUGGAGAGAACGCUUUAAAGGGACUCGCCAAAGAACAAAGUUCACUCCCCCGUUUUGGAUUAAACAGCGCUGUGAUCUUGGACACGUUAGUGCAGGGCGCUCAGUAACUCCCAGGUAAGGAUAACUCCCCCGGUCGGCAGACCGCUCCUUUGACACCUGCCCUCGUCGCCGCGCCACAUCGCCUUCCCCCCACCUUUGCCUUCCCGGUCCAA